CUGGAUUCAACAAUGUUCUAGGCACAAAGCACUGCGCAGAAGCUGCACCAAUCCUUGCCGUUGCUGGCAGCAGAAUGGUAGAAGGUGGGAGAGACCAGGAAUCCUUCCAGGCUGUGCUGACUUUAGAAAUGAGGAUUGCACACAUUUGUCUCCUGAAGCAAAAGGAGAUAAGCAGCAGAAUUUAUCAGGCGUGAAAGGGACAGCCUCCUGGUGGCCUGCCAAAAACCCAGAAUAAAGGCGAAGUUGUGCUUCAAAGCUCAGUCGCUUGCUGAGUCUGGCUAAAGUCAAGUAUUAAGAUCCACCAUUUUCUGAGCCAUGCUAGAAAAGAAGAAAAAAGUCAGGACCGUUGCUGCUUUCCAAGUCUCCGUUGGCACCAUCACAAAAUCUCAGUCGCCAGGUCACAUGAUUCUCUGCCAAAUGUAGAGUGCAUUCCCAUCAACCGUUCUGCUGAUACUGGGAAGGCAGCUAUUGUCUCGUUUAGACCCAAAGUUCAGCCCACUCUUCAUUGAAUUAGCUGAAAAACGCAUCACCUUUGGGGGCUGGGAGUCAUGGAAACGUCUACCUGGCAAGCUGCCCACUUUUUCUGCCCAUCAACCAGAGAUGGGAUUGUGCUGCCUAAUGCAAUGAUGACUUGGAAUGUGAAGAGUCGUCCAAAGUGAAUCUGAUUCUUGCAACGCCUGUUUCAGUUUGCACAGAAAACUCUGGCUUCUUGUA